rnacentral:rRNA from 10 species
AGAGUUUGAUCCUGGCUCAGGACGAACGCUGGCGGCGUGCUUAACACAUGCAAGUCGAACGGAAAGGCCCUGCUUUUGUGGGGUGCUCGAGUGGCGAACGGGUGAGUAACACGUGAGUAACCUGCCCUUGACUUUGGGAUAACUUCAGGAAACUGGGGCUAAUACCGGAUAGGAGCUCCUGCUGCAUGGUGGGGGUUGGAAAGUUUCGGCGGUUGGGGAUGGACUCGCGGCUUAUCAGCUUGUUGGUGGGGUAGUGGCUUACCAAGGCUUUGACGGGUAGCCGGCCUGAGAGGGUGACCGGCCACAUUGGGACUGAGAUACGGCCCAGACUCCUACGGGAGGCAGCAGUGGGGAAUAUUGCACAAUGGGCGGAAGCCUGAUGCAGCAACGCCGCGUGCGGGAUGACGGCCUUCGGGUUGUAAACCGCUUUCGCCUGUGACGAAGCGUGAGUGACGGUAAUGGGUAAAGAAGCACCGGCUAACUACGUGCCAGCAGCCGCGGUGAUACGUAGGGUGCGAGCGUUGUCCGGAUUUAUUGGGCGUAAAGGGCUCGUAGGUGGUUGAUCGCGUCGGAAGUGUAAUCUUGGGGCUUAACCCUGAGCGUGCUUUCGAUACGGGUUGACUUGAGGAAGGUAGGGGAGAAUGGAAUUCCUGGUGGAGCGGUGGAAUGCGCAGAUAUCAGGAGGAACACCAGUGGCGAAGGCGGUUCUCUGGGCCUUUCCUGACGCUGAGGAGCGAAAGCGUGGGGAGCGAACAGGCUUAGAUACCCUGGUAGUCCACGCUGUAAACGGUGGGUACUAGGUGUGGGGUCCAUUCCACGGGUUCCGUGCCGUAGCUAACGCUUUAAGUACCCCGCCUGGGGAGUACGGCCGCAAGGCUAAAACUCAAAGGAAUUGACGGGGCCCCGCACAAGCGGCGGAGCAUGCGGAUUAAUUCGAUGCAACGCGUAGAACCUUACCUGGGUUUGACAUGGAUCGGGAGCGCUCAGAGAUGGGUGUGCCUCUUUUGGGGUCGGUUCACAGGUGGUGCAUGGCUGUCGUCAGCUCGUGUCGUGAGAUGUUGGGUUAAGUCCCGCAACGAGCGCAACCCUUGUUCACUGUUGCCAGCACGUUAUGGUGGGGACUCAGUGGAGACCGCCGGGGUCAACUCGGAGGAAGGUGGGGAUGACGUCAAGUCAUCAUGCCCCUUAUGUCCAGGGCUUCACGCAUGCUACAAUGGCUGGUACAGAGAGUGGCGAGCCUGUGAGGGUGAGCGAAUCUCGGAAAGCCGGUCUCAGUUCGGAUUGGGGUCUGCAACUCGACCUCAUGAAGUCGGAGUCGCUAGUAAUCGCAGAUCAGCAACGCUGCGGUGAAUACGUUCCCGGGGCUUGUACACACCGCCCGUCAAGUCAUGAAAGUUGGUAACACCCGAAGCCGGUGGCCUAACCGUUGUGGGGGAGCCGUCGAAGGUGGGACUGGUGAUUAGGACUAAGUCGUAACAAGGUAGCCGUACCGGAAGGUGCGGCUGGAUCACCU